rnacentral:misc_RNA from 1 species
CUCUCUCUCUCUCUCUCUCUAUUCGUUCCUUUUUGGGUUUUGGCUUUCUGGAUUUCUACGAUUAGCAUCUAUCUGUCGACAUAAUCGGGUUUGAGAAAUGGAGUUUGGAUGAUUUGGUUGGACUUGAUAAGAGCUAUUCAGGGACAUCAUAAGAGGUUUUGUGUGUCUUUGUGGUAUUAGACAUUAUACGUUUGAUGGGUUUAUGUGCGCAUCUUGUUCUUAAUCAAUGAAAUUUAAUUUGAUGAAUAUAUGGGAAAGCCUGUGAUUUGAUCUAAUUGCGUUUAAUACGGACAAUUUUGCAUAUGAUCAUAUCGUUUUUAGCCCCCAUAAUAUUUAUUGAUUUGUUUUCUAUUGAUGAUAUUGAUUGAGACUAUCAGCAAUUCAAUUACUCACUUAUCGUUGAUUUUGAUGGAUUUUCUUUGUAGAACACUCGACGUAUACGUUCUUGUUUUGCAGUUUAUCUGUUUCUUGUUUGGCGCUGUUAUUAAUGGAAGUGAUCUCCCGUCGAUGUGCGGUUGGUGGUGCUGCUCUGGUAGAUGAAAUUGAAAGCAAUUUUCGCAAUUUUGUGCAUGUAGAAGAUGUAAAACAAGAAACACGUGCAUCUCAUGUAGAUGAUGCUAUUGAUGCAGAGGAACUCGAAAAGCUUGAGCCAUAUGGGCGAGAACUCGUUAGGGAGUCUCUAAAAAAAACUGCAAAAUUGCUAUCUGAAGAAGAUGAUGAACCUGAAAAAACGUUGCCACUGCUUUUCUCUGUGGAACCCACACAGCCUGCAUUGCCUCUUGUCUCUGCCAUGAAAGGAAGCAGAGAAAAGCUGGGAGCAUCCCCAAGGAAGCUGCAUGUGAGUUGGGCUCCUGAUGUGUAUGAUCCAAUUCCUAAUACGUUAUCACGCACUGUUAGAAGCAAGCAGAGGAAGUUUAGUAAAGACAAAGAUAGCAACAAUUACUACAAGAAAAUUGGAAAGAAGGGCUGGAAGGUAAACUCAAAAGGUGGUAAGGACAAGAAACAAUUCCGCAGAACAAAUGGAUCUUUCUGCAGGGUUAUCGUCCAGCUGUUGAUCAUUACCCUGACAACUAAUGCGCUUGCUACUGUUCUUGCAAUGCUCUUUGUUUCACGUGAAAAGCCUACAUGGGUAGAGGGUGUGCGGUUUUGAUCUACGUUAUAAAUCAAAAUCGAAUCGAAAUUUUAGUACAAUUAUAGCUUGAUCCUUUAUCAUUUCAAUUUCGGCUCGUUAUAGUUUUUAAUCUUCGGUAUGGUUAGGUAUAGUUUUACUUGAUUCUAGGUUUUUAAAAUAAUU